GGCACACUUUGAGGCCUCUUAUGCUCAAGCUAUCCACAGUGUGUGACACACAGUCUCCUUCUGCUGCCUGUGAGUCAAGAUCUAGAGCUCUCAGCUCCUUCUCCAGCACCAAGUCUGCCUAUGCAUCACCCUGCUUCCCACCACGAUGAUAAUGGACUAAACCUCUGAAACUACACAAGUGUGGCUCUCACCCAUCGUCAAGGAAACGUCUCUUUGCAACAGACGGAGACUAUUACAGAAGACUACAACCCAUCAAAGUCCAGGCAACAAGAGAUCAUGAGGUGUCUAGUGCCAGCUGACACAUCCACAGCACUGUUAGGAGACGGUUUCUCCAAGUCCAGCCAUCUCAGGACCGGGUUCCAUUCCCAAGCCAGGGAACCAACCUCUAUCCUGCUGCUUCAGAUGUUUUCUGUUUGUUAACCAAUAAUGCUGUAAAGAGCGAUAGUGCUGCUGUCCUGUUACCUAACCAAUGGCACCCGAGUCAUAAAUGUGCUGCCUGUCUUGACUUAAUUGACUACA